rnacentral:rRNA from 1 species
GAUGAACGCUGGCGGCGUGCUUAACACAUGCAAGUCGAACGGAAAGGCCCAAGCUUGCUUGGGUACUCGAGUGGCGAACGGGUGAGUAGCACGUGGGUGAUCUGCCCUGCACUUCGGGAUAAGCCUGGGAAACUGGGUCUAAUACCGGAUAGGACCACAUUUUGGAUGGUGUGGUGGAAAGUUUUUCGGUGUGGGAUGAGCUCGCGGCCUAUCAGCUUGUUGGUGGGGUAAUGGCCUACCAAGGCGUCGACGGGUAGCCGGCCUGAGAGGGUGUACGGCCACAUUGGGACUGAGAUACGGCCCAGACGCCUACGGGAGGCAGCAGUGGGGAAUAUUGCACAAUGGGCGCAAGCCUGAUGCAGCGACGCCGCGUGGGGGAUGACGGCCUUCGGGUUGUAAACUCCUUUCGCUAGGGACGAAGCGCAAGUGACGGUACCUGGAGAAGAAGCACCGGCUAACUACGUG